rnacentral:rRNA from 1 species
UUGAACGCUGGCGGCAUGCCUUACACAUGCAAGUCGAACGGUAACAGGUCUUCGGAUGCUGACGAGUGGCGAACGGGUGAGUAAUACAUCGGAACGUGCCCGAUCGUGGGGGAUAACGCAGCGAAAGCUGUGCUAAUACCGCAUACGAUCUACGGAUGAAAGCAGGGGACCGCAAGGCCUUGCGCGGACGGAGCGGCCGAUGGCAGAUUAGGUAGUUGGUGGGAUAAAAGCUUACCAAGCCGACGAUCUGUAGCUGGUCUGAGAGGACGACCAGCCACACUGGGACUGAGACACGGCCCAGACUCCUACGGGAGGCAGCAGUGGGGAAUUUUGGACAAUGGGGGCAACCCUGAUCCAGCCAUUCCGCGUGAGUGAAGAAGGCCUUCGGGUUGUAAAGCUCUUUCAGCCGGAACGAAACGGUACGCUCUAACAUAGCGUGCUAAUGACGGUAGCAUAUGAAUAAGCACCGGCUAACUCCGU